AAAAGGUAAUGCCACUUUAGAGGAGCAUUUUAAAACAAGAGCAAAAUCUGGCAACUUGUUCCGUGCCCUCAGUGCCUGUAGUCCUAACCGGACUCCUUGAUCACGGCUUCCAUCGCCUCCUUUCAUGUUGCUUACAAAGUUACUCUAUGCAAAAACGUCGUGACUGAUCUACUUUAAGAAAGGAAAGAUAAAUCCGUUCUGAAGGUGGGAGAUGGUUGAUCUUUGGGCUCGAGUCGAGCACAGAUUGUGAACAAUCUCUGCGCAGAUUUAACGCAGGGGAUGUGCCAGGUGACUGGCAGCAGGGGCACACCAGAGCACACCACCAUGCAGGGCACCACUGUAAUGAGGUGGAAAGGUGACCUGCUGUCAGAUUUCAUUAUUUCAGACUUGGAGAUGAACUUCCCUCAAAACUGCUUGCCAUCCCAUGCAUCUCUGCACUAACCCUCCUGCCAGCCCUAUCUGCUCUCCUCCUUUUUGAGGCGUCAUGGAAGCUCCGUAUGAAGCCAUAUCCUGAAGUGACACAGGCUUCUCCCUGCAAUGCCCUGAAAGAAGGUUGUAGCGAGUUGGAGGUCGGCAUCUUUUCCCAGCACUUCAAAUGAGAGAUUGCCCAAGAUGCAUCAAACUGAAUGAAACAAAGUUUGUUUCUAUCUGGACGUUUCCUUCAUCAUGCCCACAUCAGGCACAGACAGCUGAUCAAUACGGCUUGCAACCGUGCUGCUCUUCCGAGGCUCAUCUUGCAAACUCCACUGAGGGCACAGAGCCUUUCCCAUUCAUUCAGUGUUGCAUACGGUAGCUCUCAGCAGUGUGGCCAGCACCAUUGGAGCACAACUGGUCGUGCGUGGAGAGAGGAAGACCAGAUGGGGGAGAAAGUGGAUGGAGGGAGGAGUGACAUCUACCACUGAGCACAUAACAGCGGAAUAACUUAGUCAGCUGGGAACUACAAGUGGAUUCUCAGAAGGAAUACUGUUUAGUGGCUAAGUAGAAAUCUUUCAUGGAAAAUGCUGAACUACAGUAAACUCAGAAGAUCCUGAAAUAUUUUAUGCCAAGAGGGAAUAAUGCCUUUCUUGGUGCCAUAGGGUCACCAUCACUGUAGGCCAUAGUUCCUGAGCGUUGCCAGGUUGGUUUAAAUUCUUCUGGUGGAAGAAACUGCUUUCAUUGCCUCAAAGAAAUUGCGGAACUGUGGUAUGAGACAAGUAGUUGAUAAUGCUGCUUAUGCUGAAGGAUGGAUCUACAACUACUUGGUGACUUAAUCAUGUGGUUUCCUAAGCUCAUUUUCAUAAAGGUUAUUCAUGUAAGUGAAAGGGAAUAAAGAAAACCAUAUGUCAAACAGCAACAAACUGGAAACUGCCAACUGAUUCUUGUGGGUUUUGCUAUACAUAAGCCGUAAGACCAUCUAAUUCUCCACCCUCUUGUCUGGUUUUGUAAAUGAAUAUGAAAUAAAUGGUCCAUUAUCAAUGCGUUCCCACAGAAACUACUUAACAGUAUUACAAGCUAUGCAGUUCAUUUACAAAUAUUUAAUCCAUUGUUGCUGUGUUUUCUGAAAACUCAUUGUUAAUUUAGCAGCUGUAAGGUGAAAUAGAUGUAAUUUCAAAGGUGGUGGUCAAAAUGUAACAUACUGAGAAGCACAGAAUCCUCUUCCUCCAUCCCCAUGCUUGUGAUCUCAGUUUGCAAGGAGGGUGGUUGCCACGUGUACAUAUUUGGCUUCAGCUGUCCUAUGCCUUAAUUUACCAUGGUGUUUUGCAUCUGGGUCAGUAUUUUUAUCAAGCAUUAACAUGCAGGAGGGAUCUCCAGGACUUUAUAAAAAUGCUCCUGAAAACCGUGUUCUUCCAUCUCUUUACUGAAGUGGAUUAUAUUGUGUUUGAACUGAAAGUACACUCUUGUGAAAACUGUUUUAUUCAUAACCCACACCCAAGCAAUAACAAAGAGCUCAGUUAAUGAAAAGCAGUCAAAAGGAAUCACUGCCCACCCCUUCCAAGAUCUAUUAGGAAGAUAAUUCCAGCUUCCCCAGUGCUGCCACACUGCUGCUGUACUGUGCAACUCCUUCAGAAGGCUGAGGUAGGAAUCCUGACAAUAACGUGUGAUGAACAGUGCUGAAAAAAAGAAAAAAAAAGGAAAAAAAAUAUUAUGCUAUUACCACUGUGAAUUCCUAUGGCAAGAGACAAUGCUUGGGUGGUUUAAAUAGGUAAUUGCCCUUGGGGGGCAUGCUUUGAUCCAAGCACAAGGCUGGAAGGAUUGGGGCUAAAAGCUGCUGCCCAAAGGUGGGUAGGAGCACUGGGGUGGCUUUUUCAGACAAAGGCUGGCAGAAUUUUUUCCCACAGGAUGCCUUGAAGGGUACCUUGGCGUGGCAUCCUAAUCCUCAGUAGACCAAGGAUAAGAUGGAAGAUGACAGUUCCUCCAAGCAGAGAAGAAAAGUUCCUUCCUGGCAACACAUCAGUAAAUUUGGAUGCAGUAGGACUACACAGAGUGGAACAGCCACUGGAUAUCAGGAAAAAUUUCUUGUCAGAGUGGUAGUGCAGUGGCACAGGCUGCAGAGAGAUGUGGUGGAGUCACCGUCCCUGGAGGUGCUCAUGAACCGUAGGAACGUGGCACUGAGGGACGUGGUCAGUGGGCAUGGAUGGUUGGGCUGGGUGAUCUUAGUGGUCCUUCCAAACAUAAUGAUUCUAUGAUUCUAAGAAAUACUUAGAAAGAAAUACAGCAGUGCAGGCAGACCCAUGGCUGCUGUGACAUGAUGAUACCCCACUGGAUUCCAGAGGCGUACGGCAAAUUGCACCAGCUGAGAGUCUGGCUUUGUUGUUGCCAUCCCAAUUUUUAAGUGCAUUUGUCCUCCUCUCCUCUUUCCUCUCUUCUUACAUCUUGAAAGCAAUGAAUUUUUCUCAGGGAUUUAUUUCUUCCCACUGCAUUGGAAAGCGACCUGAGCUUGAACAAUGCCGAGCUGAACAGUGGAGCUUCUUAAUAAUUGGCAAAGGUCUGCAAAUGUGAGACUGUCACAUUUAUCGAUAAUGAGGAACUGCCAGAACCGUUCUGAAUAUUUGUCUGAUACUAAUUGGUCUGCCAAUUUUUUAACAAUGUGAAAAAUUAGCAUGGCCAAAACUUCAUUUUUGUUGCAAAAAUGCACCAGCCCUUGAAACAGCGUUAAAGAAUUUAAUUAAUUGACUUACACAAAUGAAAAAUGUUCAUAAUCAUUUUGGUAAAUAUUUCAUUUAGUGUAAGCACAGAUCCAUUUAAUACUGCAAACAUAUGUAAAGGUGUGUAAGAUUUAUUUCCAAGAGUACGCAGCACAAAGUGUCGCUGCGUCUUUCGAGUGAGCCUUCCUUCUGCCACAUCUGGAAGCUAGAAAGGAGGGAGAAGAAAACUGACCUUUUUUCCAAUGGUCAUGACUAAUUUGCUGAAUAACUACUUUUUGCUCAUUACAGCCUUGUUUUAGUAUGCGACGCGAUCCAUAUACCACACUUCUAAGGGAAAAAUGCUCCAACCCAAAUAGCUAGGAACAGAGAAUGGAAAUGCUAACCUAAGUACCCCUGUGUUUAAAUAAGAGGAUUUGUGGAGCACAGCAGGAAAAAGUGAGGCCUCGGUUGCCUUUGAGCUGAGCCCUCCCUCCUUGCUCUCUCACCACACGAUUCAGCCCAACACAUUAAGAUGCAUUAGUUUGGCCAUGUUAAUUCCUUUGAAAUAUGUUUCAGCCCAUUGUAUUCUCCAAAUCACAAAACGGUUGAUUUAGCUUUACGUGCUUACGUGCUGUUGGAAAGAUAUGGCAUUUCUUAUUUGCCUUCGUAACGUUUGCUAAUCACAUCCUUCAAUUUUCUUGUCAGAGCUGUUAAUAAAAGCUUAUGAACUUCUGACUUGCGAUUACAAUCAGGAAAUGUCUUUUUUUAAACACAGAAGGUGUUUGGUUUUGUCACGCCAGAAGGGGAAACUUCCAAUAAUUCCCUCCAAUGAUAAUUUUUAUCUUUGCUUUUCUUGCUGCUUACGGCCACCUCCAUCAAAGAGUAAGCAGACCACUUCUGCCUGCAGAAUGCCAAUGAGCCCUCCGUGCUUUCACUGGCUGGAAAUGGAUUUACACCCUCAUUGCUAUCCAUGGAUGCUGGUUCCACCUCAGCCAGACAGGGGUCAUAACCAAAUGGGAUGUGGCAGUUAUGGGCAGUGGGACUGCCCUGUGCCAGCACCUUGAGCUGCCCCAUUGCCAUGUGCUUUGCGGAGUUUGCGGCCCUCUUCACUAUGCUACAUCUGUUUGCCC
ensembl:lncRNA